AAGUGGUAGUUGAUCAGGUGUGGUAGCACACAAAGCAGUGUUUCUAGAAAACAAAAGGGCAUACUAAAAGCUAUUGAAUGAAGUACUGUCACAUUUUAGUAAAUCAUUUUAAAUUAAUUUUACCGGUAUUUUAAAUAACAAAAGGAUAAUUGCAAUCAGUUAAUUGGACUGACAUAAAUGGAAUCUUGUGGCAAUAAUUAAUUGCACAAGCAAUAAGAUACCUGGAAUAUGAUCAAAGGGAAUUGUGAAGGAGAUUUUGGAGCCUGUUUGACACCUCCGGUAAAAGAUUGUAAGAACUAAUAUCAAGUUACUUAUUUGCUAGAAUUUCUAUUUUUGGCAUAAAAUUUUUGUUUUUCUUAUGAAUACCACAAGAUUUUUCUUACUUGUCAUAAUUGAUGAGAAAUCAACAAAAUCACUCACAACUUUCAUGACAGACUACAAUGAUCAACAUAAACAUGGGAGUUCUCCAUUUUAUCCUACUUGUAUCGCUACACUUGACUACAUCGUGUGCAACAAAAACCAUAGGUUGGCCACUGUUAAGAGAUGAAAAAUGUACAGAAGGAUCAAAAAAUCAAUAACUUAAUGAAACAGGGAAAAGUGAUUUGGAAAAGUUCUUUACAGUGAAGAUUCCCUUGGAUACAAAUCGACGGAAGAAGAUGAAACAUGAUGAUUCCUCCUAAGAAAUUGUACAAGGCUUGUGGGUUUCUGAUCAAUGAAUACUCCUCUACAUGAACAAAUGCUGAGUCUUCAAUAAACACAUCAUUUAAUCAAAAUGAGUAGAGCAGUCAGUUUUUAUUCACAUAACAUCUGAUCAUGUGCAAACGAACUAAGGGCAACCGUAUGGCAUUUGAUAUAAACACAUAAUUUAAUCAAAAUGAGUAGAG
rnacentral:lncRNA from 1 species